UACGUAGGAGACAAGCGUUGUCCGGAAUUACUGGGUGUAAAGCGCGUGUAGGCGGUAGGCCAAGUCUGCUGUGAAAUCGCCCGGCUCAACUCCGGGCCUGCAGCCGAUACGGGCAGACUAGAGUUCGGCAGGGGAGACUGGAAUUCCUGGUGUAGCGGUGAAAUGCGCAGAUAUCAGGAGGAACACCCGUAGCGAAGGCGGCACUCUGGGCCGAUACUGACACUGAGGAGCGAAAGCGUGGGGAGCGAACAGG
rnacentral:rRNA from 1 species